AGGUUUGCAAACAAACCGCGGACUGAUGGGGGGGGGGGGGGGACGACUAAAGAAAGAGUAUCGAUUGGCUUGGUUACAAGUGUAGGGUACUUGAGUAAGUACCUUUAGGAAAACAUUUAAUAUCAUUAAACCUGACUGAUGUUCGUCGAAAAGUAGUGAUAAUGGGGUUUUUCUAUCUCUCCACUCUCCCAUUCUUUCUUUUUCGCGUUCUCAUC
ensembl:ncRNA Y70D2A.6 ncRNA